UACGAAGGGGGCUAGCGUUGCUCGGAAUCACUGGGCGUAAAGGGUGCGUAGGCGGGUUUUUAAGUCAGGGGUGAAAUCCUGGAGCUCAACUCCAGAACUGCCUUUGAUACUGAAGAUCUUGAGUUCGGGAGAGGUGAGUGGAACUGCGAGUGUAGAGGUGAAAAUUUCGUAGAUAUUCGCAAGAACACCAGUGGCGAAGGCGGCUCACUGGCCCGAUACUGACGCUGAGGCACGAAAGCGUGGGGAGCAAACAGG
rnacentral:rRNA from 1 species